CUUUAUCUAUAUUGUUAUUUAAUAACCCUUUUCCAACUAAAUGAACGAUUUGAUAUUUUUCAGUAAGUUGAUCAAUAUUAUCCCAAAUAUAAUCGUUUAAAAUUUUUGAUCCUAAAGAUCCACCCAUGACUAAUAAUACAGGUUUAUCUUCAUUAAACCCUGUUAAUUCAUAAGC
rfam:Gemella haemolysans ATCC 10379 ctg1119035638547, whole genome shotgun sequence.